rnacentral:rRNA from 1 species
GACGAACGCUGGCGGCGUGCUUAACACAUGCAAGUCGUACGGAAAGGCCCUUUCGGGGGUCCACGAGUGGCGAACGGGUGCGUAACACUUGCGUAACCUGCCCACACCUAUAGGACAACGCUAGGAAACUGGUGCUAAUACUGGAUAUGUGCUACUUCUUCAUGGUGGGGGUUGGAAAGCUCCGGCGGGUGUGGAUGGACUCGCGAGAUAUCAGCUUGCUGGUGGGGUGGUGGCCUACCAAGGCGGCUGCGGGAAGCGGGCCUGAGUGGGUGACCGGCCACAUUGAGACCGAGAUACGGCCCAGACACCGACGGGUGGGAGAAGGGGGGAAUAUUGCAGAAUGGGCGCAAGGCGGAUGCAGCAAGGCCGCGGGUGGGAUGACGGUCUUAGGGUUGUAAACCGCUUGCAGCAGGGACGAAGCUUUUUGUGACGGUACCUGAAGAAGAAGCACCGGCUAACUACGUG